AUUGAACGCUGGCGGCAUGCUUUACACAUGCAAGUCGAACGGCAGCGCGGGCUUCGGCCUGGCGGCGAGUGGCGAACGGGUGAGUAAUGCAUCGGAACGUGCCCAGUAGUGGGGGAUAGCCCGGCGAAAGCGGGAUUAAUACCGCAUACGACCUGAGGGUGAAAGCGGGGGACCGAAAGGCCUCGCGCUAUUGGAUCGGCCGAUGUCGGAUUAGCUAGUUGGUGGGGUAAAGGCUUACCAAGGCGACGAUCCGUAGCUGGUCUGAGAGGACGACCAGCCACACUGGGACUGAGACACGGCCCAGACUCCUACGGGAGGCAGCAGUGGGGAAUUUUGGACAAUGGGGGCAAGCCUGAUCCAGCCAUGCCGCGUGCGGGAAGAAGGCCUUCGGGUUGUAAACCGCUUUUGUUCGGGAAGAAAUCCUGUGGGCUAAUACCCCGGGGGGAUGACGGUACCGGAAGAAUAAGCACCGGCUAACUACGUG
rnacentral:rRNA from 1 species